CGCAUCUGUGCAUGCAGCAUAUCAAUAAGCGGAGGAAAAGAAACUAACAAGGAUUCCCCUAGUAACGGCGAGUGAAGCGGGAAGAGCUCAAAUUUGAAAUCUUAAAGGGUUUCCCUUUACGAAUUGUAGUUUAAAGAAGUGUUUUCUGUUGAGGUUUUGGUAAAAGUUCUUUGGAAUAGGACAUCAUAGAGGGUGAGAAUCCCGUAUUUGACCUUUACUUUCAACUUUGUGAUACACUUUCAAAGAGUCGGAUUGUUUGGGAAUGCAGUCCAAAAUGGGUGGUAAAUUUCAUCUAAAGCUAAAUAUUGGCGAGAGACCGAUAGCGAACAAGUACCGUGAGGGAAAGAUGAAAAGAACUUUGAAAAGAGAGUUAAACAGUACGUGAAAUUGUCAAAGGGAAGCGUUUGACACCAGUGUUGUUUUCUGAAAAUCAAUUAAAGAACUGUUUAUGCUAAGUUGUUUAGACUUUAUCAGCUAACUGUUUAGUUUUGAGCUUUUCUUUAAUGCACUUUUCAGUUAACAAGUCAACAUCAAUUUCUUUUGCUGUAAAAAAGCUUGAGGAAGGUGGCUUGAGAUUCGUCUUAAGUGUUUAUAGCCUCUUGCCUAUGCAGUCGGAGAGAUUGAGGUCUGCAGCGUAGAUCCUUCGGGGCUAAAUGCAUUUGUGCUAAGUUAUAGCAUUUUAUAGACAACUUGUUGACUAUGAUUUGUCUUGUAGCUUACUCGCUUAUGUUAUUUUACCUACGCUUAGGAUGUUGAACGCGCACAGAGUCUC
rnacentral:rRNA from 1 species